CACGUAGGGGGCGAGCGUUGUCCGGAUUCAUUGGGCGUAAAGGGCGCGCAGGCGGCCCGGAAAGUCGGAUGUGAAAACUUGGGGCUCAACCCCAAGCUUGCGGUCGAUACGGGCAGGCUCGAGUUCGGUAGGGGAGACUGGAAUUCCUGGUGUAGCGGUGAAAUGCGCAGAUAUCAGGAGGAACACCGGUGGCGAAGGCGGGUCUCUGGGCCGAUACUGACGCUGAGGAGCGAAAGCGUGGGGAGCGAACAGG
rnacentral:rRNA from 1 species